AUUGAACGCUGGCGGCAGGCCUAACACAUGCAAGUCGAACGAGUGGCGGACGGGUGAGUAAUGCUUGGGAAUCUAGCUUAUGGAGGGGGAUAAAUAAGGGAAACUGUAGGUAAUACCGCGUAACAUAGGAUGAGACCAAGUGGGAUUAGGUAGUUGGUUAGGUAAAGGCUCACCAAGCCGACGAUCUCUAGCUGGGCUGAGAGGAUGACCAGCCAAACUGGGACGUAGACACGGCCCAGACUCCUACGGGAGGCAGCAGUGGGGAAUAUUGCGCAAUGGUGGCAACCUGACACAGCCAUGCCGCUUGAAUGAAGAGGGCCUUCGGUUUGUAAAGUCCUUUCGGUAGCGAGGCGUUAACUACAGAAGAAGCACCGGCUAACUCCGUGCCAGCAGCCGCGGUAAUUC
rnacentral:rRNA from 1 species